rnacentral:rRNA from 1 species
AGGGUUUGAUCCUGGCUCAGGAUGAACGCUGGCGGCGUGCUUAACACAUGCAAGUCGAACGAACCUUCGGGUUAGUGGCGGACGGGUGAGUAACGCGUGAGAAUCUGCCCUCAGGAGGGGGAUAACGGUUGGAAACGACCGCUAAUACCCCAUACGCCUACUGGUGAAAUGAAUUUCGCCUGAGGAUGAGCUCGCGUCUGAUUAGCUUGUUGGUGAGGUAAUGGCUUACCAAGGCUUCGAUCAGUAGCUGGUCUGAGAGGAUGAUCAGCCACACUGGGACUGAGACACGGCCCAGACUCCUACGGGAGGCAGCAGUGGGGAAUUUUCCGCAAUGGGCGAAAGCCUGACGGAGCAACGCCGCGUGAGGGACGAAGGCCUCUGGGCUGUAAACCUCUUUUCUCAAGGAAGAAGAUAUGACGGUACUUGAGGAAUAAGCCACGGCUAAUUCCGUGCCAGCAGCCGCGGUAAUAC